GGCGGAGCCUAGUAAAGCUUAGGUGAGCUCCCAAGCAACCCGGAGCCGCCUCCCAAAACAGAGGGGUACCGCCAAGGCCUUUCUCCAGCCUAGUGCCCAGUCUAGGUUCUGUCGAGCAUGGUGGUGGGACUAGAAACCCUCGGGGCAGCUGCUGACCGGGAGGAAGCCGGGCCGCGAUAGCGCCACCCCCGUCUCCUCCCCCGCACCGCCCAGCGGCGCGACACUCUGGUUGGCUCGCCUUGCAAGUCAUACUUUGGGUCUCUCAGUUUGAAAACUCUUCCUCUCGGCCCCCUUUGAAGAAACUCAUUGACGCUGAAUGUUUUGAGGACCAGGUCAGCUUGGAGGCGGCAACUUUGGCGGACACCAGCGGGCAGGUCCAGCUCCGUGGCCCAUGAGCUUGGGCGAGAUGCGGAGCAGGAGCAAUUCUGGGGUCCGCCUGGACGGGUACGCGAGGCUGGUGCAGCAAACCAUCCUGUGUUACCAGGUAAACAGAGAGCAGCCCAGAGAACGGUGGAAACUGCCCACUGAUAUAACUCAUUCUCCCCAAGGCCUCUGUCACUCAUGAGAGCUUGCAUUUAUUUAAGAGGUUUCCGACUUUAAUCCAGUCCUUUGCUAGCCAGUUAUCACCCUACUCCCUUAUCGCUAUUUUAUUCACUUUACUCACAAGUCAGGCAUUCUGGCUUUUGAACAGUUGCUGCGGCUGCUUUGCAGAAUUCUGGGACCUUUUUUUUUCUCUCCUCUUCCUCCUCCCUUCCUCUUUUUCCCCCCAUCGGGACACCCCCCUCGAGGUCCUUCCUUACUGCCUCUUUUGGAUGAAAGAAGUCUGUUAGGUUGGACAGAGCACACUGAAGGAGAACAGUGAACUAACUCUACUCUGGGAACAGUAGGCAGGAGUGAAAAACUCCCAAGGCUUGCAUCUGACCAGAGUGUGGGCAACUGUUACUGCCCCUCCCUUGUUAGAAAUCCCCCUGAGAGGACCCUAUGACCACUCUGGUUGCUGCUUUACAGCCAACAAAACUUCUGGGCACAGAGCAUCAGCAUCAAGGGGUCCUGUGAAACUGUGCAUAUAAUCUCAGGUAUGAAUACGCCUGCUAUGCUUCCUGCUUGGCAAAAGUUAUGUGUGAGUGCCCAAUGUAAGACCACUGAGCUAUUUUUGUUCAGAGCAAAGACAUCAGCUAUAUUGCUUGCCUUCAGUUGGCAGCAGCUAUUUUUAGGGCUUUGAGAGUCAGAGAAGGAAGUAGCAGUUGGUGGUCAUUUCCAAACCAUUAACCUUUUUUUUUUCUUCUUAGCUAAUUCCUUGACCUCUCACUCAGGAAGAAUUUAUUGUGUAUCUUUUCUAUGCAAGGCAUCAUACAAACUACAUAAAAUGAAUAAAUGGUACUGCCAGUGGUGUGACUUAGUGGUAGUUUACCUGGUAGUCUCAAGGCCCUGGAUUGGAUUGCAGCACUG
rnacentral:lncRNA from 1 species